rnacentral:rRNA from 2 species
UGACCUCAAAUCAGGUAGGACUACCCGCUGAAC